CCAAAUUCAAAGUCUUGUACGUUUCUUUUCCUAGAGUCCAAAUGACUCAUGCUUCUUAUCCGUGGUCCCCGCACAUGUGGACAAAGCCUCCAAAGUACUUGUUGUUCCAAGUUUCUCUACGUUGCUUUCUUUGAAAAGCCCAAAUGACUAAAUGCCUUGCACUAGCUUGUGAUCCCCACCAAUUCAAGAGUCCAAGGUCCUUAGAAGUCUCCAUUUUUCCAUAAGAGUCCCUCCUUUUUGGUAAUUUUCUGCUUUGUUCCUAAAAUUAAGUCCCAAUACCAAAUAUAAGUAAAUAUUAAUAAUUCAAACAAUAUUUGGCAAGGAUAAAGGGGAAAUUAACAAUAAAAUUACUAACAAUUAACACCCUAUCAAUUCCCCCCACACCUAAAUCAUGCUUGCCCUCAAGCAUGAGAACAACAAUUGAACACCAAAAUUCGACCAUGGCUGUUACUCCAACUACCGUAUUGCCAAGACACCAAGAAAAUCAUAUAUCAAGCGACACAGGUCAAGAUCCAAGAAAAAUCACUCCGGUUAGCAUCUAAACUACCAACUCCUCCAAUUUAAAGCAAACUAAUCUAAGAAAAAGGAAUGGUUGCUCACAUUUAUCAGCAAAUGGUCCAACUAUUAAUCCAAAUCUCAACAUUAACCCAUAGAUCGGUAAGCUGACUUUAGACACACACUUACACAACCUUCACCUUUUUUUAUCACGUUUUUCUAUUUUUCUCUUUUUUUUUCAAUAAUAACAAAAGACUUAGUUUCUAGCCAUUAGAGCCUUUUGACGCGAACUCCAACAUUUGAUAGAUGGAGGAGCCCGGUUACUCAGCUCCAAUCGCUACGAGACCAUGUACUCAUAGCAACUACUACCUUUUGACGCGAAAAUCAACACUUUAGGUGAAGAUCCCCGGUUACUCAGUAGUAGCUACUAGCGGAGUACAGUCAACUCUUAUUUGCAAUCAUAUAACACAACAACUAAAAAUAACAGCAGCCAGCCUCAAAUUCCAAACAUGGAGAACUAAAAUUAAUAAUUGGACCAAUUCACAUGAAGAAUGCCAACAAUCAUUCCCUAUGCCUAGAAGAGUUAACCAAAAAUUGGAAAAGUCAAGCAAGUAUUGAUAUUCACCAAAGAGAUGUUCCUGAACUCAACUACAUCAACUUGAUAUCCUUUUAUUACUAAAACUUGGCAAUAGCAGAAUUAGAAACAGCAACCCAGUAUCAAAACUUGGUAUUCAUAUAAAACUGAUCACUAGUAAAAGUAAAAAAGAAAAUAAACGAAAAAAUAGAACAAAUAACAACGAAAAUAAAGGAAAAAAAAACUAAAAACUGAACACCAGAAAUACCAGCUGUACCACAGCUCUCCCCCCACACCUAAAUCACACAUUGCCCUCAAUGUGAUAAAUAAAUAGUAAUAGCAAGGCGAAGGGCAACGGGACUUCCCUGAAGUCAUCAAAACAGGGGCGGUUCAGGUGGAAAUUGAGGAUUAAGGCCUGCAUGGGGCAUAAAUGCUGCCAAAUUCUGCGCAUGUGAUGCAGGUUGACGUCAAUGUGGGUCAUCCAAGUUGCUAGUCGUUCAACUCGCAUCUGGAGCUGGUGCCAUUCGUCAGCCCCUGGGGUAGGAGGAGGCAGCGAGUGUCUAGAUGUCCUAAACCUAGAAGCGGAUCUUGGCCUUACCAUGAGCUCUAGAUGUCACUCUAAUCACAAGGGACUACAAUUGCCAACAGAUAAUGGAAACAGGAAUUUCAAAGUAAUAACAAUUUUUUUGUUUAAAAACCAACCCAAUGAACAAUAGGCACAAUUCAAUCACCCACAGGUUAUACGAAUACCUGAACACUAAUAACAAAUGCAAUCAAUGAGCCCCUGUGGUCCAAAUAUAGUCAAAUUUAGAAUCAAGGCAGUCCAAUCAAGCAGCAAGUGCUCCAAAUAGCUUAGUAAAGGAAACCAAAAGGAUAAAAUGCUCCUAAACAAGGCAAUCAGCGGCAACUAACUUCAAUAAGCAAAUUUAAGCGUUAUAGGCACCUCCCAAUUUAACAAGCAAAUUACCCACAAUUAGACACAAAUCACAGCAAAAUAGACACAAUUGGUCCCAAAAUGGUAACAACUGUCUCCAAUUGGACAGUUAAAUACCCAAUUCAACCUGCUAAAAUUAGCAAUUGACCACAGAAAUUGGCAAUUCCAGCAACCACAGUUCAGGAUUUGAAAAACAAUUUAAGCACUAAGGAUCAAGAAACUGUAAGCAACGAUGCAACCAGUACCACUGGUGUAUACACAGGGAGGAUUUAAAUCAAACAGCAGUAACUCAAUAAAUAUCAGAAAAUAUCCCCACGUAUGGCAGCAAUUAAACCCAAUUCCACUCAAAAUCUCAACAAAUAUCUCCAAUGGACAGUCUUACACAACUUAACCAACUGAAAUUAGCAAAUGUCCCCAAGAAACUGACAAAAUAAGCAAUAGUAGUUCAAAAUUUGGACUACAACUAAAUCAAAAUGUUUGGCAGUUUUCGAUCAAGUAGCCCACCAAAGAGAAUGAAUAAAUGUUAGGUAAACUACCAUAACCAGUACCACUGGUGUAUGCACAGAGAAGAAUUGAAUCAAACAGCAAACUCAAUUCACUAAGAAAUACAAACAACACUAGAUAGUACUUCAAGAGCCUAAACAAAUGACAAUUAUAUUAGACUAGGCAAAUCAGUUGCAGGUCAUAACCCAAUGCACUGGCUCCAGUAACCCAGAUGCAAUUCAAUCAAAUGAACUCAGUGAAAUCGCAAGCACCAAAACCCCCUCAACAUCAAGAAAUCAGAAUCGGGGACCAUAAAAUUAAUAAGAAAAGCCUGGCACCAGGGCGGUUGAGCUACCGACGGCGGUGCUAAGCUGUGCGUCCCGAGUGGUGCAGGUUGAGUGGUGCGUGAGGGGGGAAUUGGGCUAGACGAAAGGCGGCGCGCGUGUGAGGGAGCAAUGAGCUGGGGACGGUCACGCUUGUUGUGGGCUUGUGGGCCGCGGCUGGAGAGAGAGAGAUCUAGUGGCUGAGGCUUCAGACGCGAGGUUGCAGCUGCUGUAGUGAUGGUGGAGCGGGCUGGUCAGCGGCGAGAGGCGCGCGAGGACGGUGAGAGUGGAGGAAGAGGCUGACUGCAGCUGCGAACUGGUGGCGGCUUGGACUGGUCAGCGGCGGGCGUCGGCUCGUGGAGAAGGUGGACUGAAGGGCUGCGUGGGCUGAGCUCAAUGGAGCCGCGAGGUGAGCUGGAAGUGGCGUGGGGUGAAGCAGGGGUUGCAAGCUGGUGGUGGAGAGAGGAGGCCACGGCGAGCUUGAGAGCCGGCGGUGCUCGCGUGGUGGUGGACCGUGAGGCGGAGAGAGGCGCGCGAGCUGGUGGAGAGCUGGUACUGGAGCAGGCCUGUGGGUGGGGUGCGGCGAGCGAAGCUGAGGAGGCGGCACUCCUGGAAGGUGAGAGUGGAGGAGAGGCGCGGCUUGGCAGAGCUGGUGGCGACCGUGAGGUGAGGCGGCGAUCUGAUGGCGUGUGUAGCGGCGGACAAAGAGAAUGGAAAGGAAAAUAGGGAAGAAGAAAGAAAGAAAAGAAAAAAUUUUUUUUUUUUUUGGAAUUUUUUUUAUUUAAAUUGAAUUGAGAUUGGAAAAUUCGAUUUUUGAAUACCAAAACUGAAAAUGAAAAAGGAAAUUACUUUUAUUAAAUUUUUUUUUUAAAGUGAAAAAUUAUUUCCUUUGUUUUUGAGUCGUCAAACACCGCGUGGGCACGCCAAGAUUGGUAAACGUCCAUUGAUCUCAAGAGACACAAACACCGCGUGGGCACGCCAAGAUUGCACUUCCUGCCACUGUGGAGAAAAACAUGAAGACCGAUUACUACUCAAUCGAGAAACGAAAAACGAAAGAAAUGAACAACGAAAAAUAAUAAAAUCAAUAUUUGGGUUGCCUCCCAAAAAGCGCCUUUCUUUAAUGUCUUUGGCUAGACAUUGUUAUGUCUUGUUCAUGGAGGAUAAAAUCUUGUGGCUCGCUUCAAUGCUACAUCUUCAAUGUAAUUCUGGUAACCCUCAUAGAUGGAGUAAUCUUUGAGCACACGAGCUACGGUCUUCCAUGGACUAGUUGAUGGCGCCAAAUAAUCAAGCAUUGAUCGCAAUUCUUCAUCCACUCCUCCAUCAAGAGCACUCAACGGUUCAAGAUAUUUGACCAUAACUGCUCUUAACUUAUUUCUGCCAUGAGACUCAAAAACUUCCGGUAUAACAAAAUCAAUCUCAUUAACAGAAAUCAUGGAGUAAGAGUUAAGAAAAUGCGGGUUAGGGAAUGGAGGUGGUGUCACCACAUUUGAUGAUUUUUCACUGGAUUCUUUCACUUGAAUAGGUUGCGGUUGGGAUUCCAUUUCUUCCUUUUCGGCUUAUUUUUCAACUACAUCUGUAGACUUCUCAUUCUGACACUCUUGCAUCUCCUCAUCACUAGUCAAGCAAAUUGCACUCUCAUUUUCUUCUAGAUCGACAAUGGUUUUCGAGGGCAAUUCUUCCAUUUGAGAAGCCAAUCGAUUUAUUCUGGAUGUCAAUAGACAUAGUUGAUCUUCCAGAUUACUCAUUGCAUCCUUCAUCAUCUCAUUUCUCAUUCGUGUCUCCUGUUGGAAUUGAUAUGUAUUAGUAGCUAACGAUUCAACUAUUUCUUCAAGAGACAAACCUGACAUAGAUGAUGAUUCUUGAGACUCAUACUGCUGAAAAUUCAUUGGCCCUGUUGUAUAAUUAUAACUGGAGUUAUCCCACCAUUCUUGAUCAUACCCGUUUGGAUUAGGGUUAUACCACAUUUGAGACCAGGGUGAAAAAUCUCCAUAAUUAUCGAGUGGGACACUCAGAUUAUCCUGAUAUUCGGGGCACAUACCGGUUGAAUGAUCCCUGGCAUAACAAAUUUUACAGGUUGCAGCAGCCAUUCUUUCUCUAAUAGAGUUUAGUGCCUCUGAAUAUGCAAACUUAGCAAAAAAACUAGUCUCAUUGCCUUCCUUGGAAACAAAAUCCAGUCUAUCACCAAAAUACGGGGUGUUAGAAGCCAUAAACUAUAUAAAAAAAAUAAGAGAAAAAUAAAUGAAAAAAUAAGAAAAAGAUGAACUCAAAAAGAAACAAAUUAAUCUGGCACCAGUCCCCGGCAACGGCGCCAAAAAUUGACAGGUGCCGAACCUGUGCAAUAAUAAAUACCUACUCGAGAAAAAUACAGAUUUUGUAUAUAGCGGUGAGUAGGGUCGAAUCCACAGGGAUUGGGGAUAAUUCGUUUAUCUUAGAGUCCAAGGUAUGGGGAGGUUUUGGAUUAAAUGCUAACUAAAUAAAUUAACUGCAGAAAAUAAUUGAUUAAGAGAAAUAAUUAAGGGAAAACUCUAAGCAAGGGUACACUUCAGAAAUGGUUCAGGCACUGAUCAUUGAUUCACACAUAAUUCCACAUUUAUUAAUAGACCAGUUAUAGUUGUCAUGCACGCGAUAAACAACCAAUCUUUUCUUACUUUCUCGAUAGUUAAGGUACGACCGUUAACUAUUUCUCUAACCCAAAAACAACCCUAGGUACGACCAUAGGAUUUAAUUUCUAGAUUGCAUUAAUAAUUAGAAAGGCCCAAUCCUAACUAACAAACACGCUACGAGGGUUUGUUUAAGUUAGAUCGUAUGCUCCCCUGACAUAAACCCAAUUACGCCAGUUGCUACUGAGAUAAAGAUAACGAACAAUUACGGAUUCAAUUAUCCCUAUUUAGCAAAAUAGCCUAUGUGAAUAAUUAAAUAUUGCGCAUCUAUUCGAUCACUCACACGAGCUAUAGCAAUUAAAAGCAGGAAACAUAUAAAUACCAAUAAAUUAAGGAAGCAAUUAAAAUAAAUUAGAUCUCACAGUAAUUGCUGAACCAAAUCUUCAGUUGUCCCCUUGACUUGAAUUAAGAGAUUAGCUCUCCAUUAAUGGAGAACAACCAUGCGAAAGAGCUAAGAAAAGAAAACUAAAACAAUGCUAAAAGCCUAAACUAAAACUAUUGAUUCCUCCACCUCCCGUACGUUUCUCCCUUUUUAAAGCCAAAAGGAAGUCUAAUGCUAUCUCUAGUGGUCCCCACACCAAAUUCAACCAAAUUCAAAGUCUUGUACGUUUCUUUUCCUAGAGUCCAAAUGACUCAUGCUUCUUAUCCGUGGUCCCCGCACAUGUGGACAAAGCCUCCAAAGUACUUGUUGUUCCAAGUUUCUCUACGUUGCUUUCUUUGAAAAGCCCAAAUGACUAAAUGCCUUGCACUAGCUUGUGAUCCCCACCAAUUCAAGAGUCCAAGGUCCUUAGAAGUCUCCAUUUUUCCAUAAGAGUCCCUCCUUUUUGGUAAUUUUCUGCUUUGUUCCUGAAAUUAAGUCCCAAUACCAAAUAUAAGUAAAUAUUAAUAAUUCAAACAAUAUUUGGCAAGGAUAAAGGGGAAAUUAACAAUAAAAUUACUAACAAUUAACACCCUAUCAA
rnacentral:lncRNA from 1 species